CAUUAACUACAUGUGGCCACUGGGCACUUGAAACAUGGAGAGCUCAUGUGCCCACAUCAUUUCACUCAAAGAAGGAAAGCAGAGUGGGCUAGUGAGGAAGCACCACUGCCUUUAACCCAACAUUUAACCUCUUGGUGGCUCAUUGUUCUGUAAAAGCUACACAUCUGCAAGAGGACAGAUUUUCUUCAUACAUUUCAACCAAAACAAUAUACAGCAACAGAAUGAAUGCAGAAGCAGUUCUCCAUGACUUAGGUUCCUCCACUGAGAAAUGGAGUGAAGACUAAUAGCUACCUAAAAGGGUCAUCGUGACAAUUAAAUGAGUUCAUAUGUGCAUAUAAAGACUGGACACAGAAUCUUAUACAGAGAAAACACUCAUAACAGGCUCUCCAAGGAAAAAGAAGGAAUCCACUGCUGACGACACUCAGUCCUCUCAGGGUUGAUGACAUCCCACAAAACAACUGGACCCCAGCCUCCAUGACACCUGGACGUGCAAAGAGAAGGACUGAGCGAACUAUAGAGCUGCUGCAUCUUUUAAAUGAAUGGGGAGAGGAAGCUGACGGUAUUCAUACACUAAAUCAGAGCCUUGAGUACAGCAGGAGAGGAGACGCCAAAACUCUGGCUCGGCUUGCAUCACAACACUGACAUCUGUUGGCUGCAAGCGCGCUGGAUCCUCUGCAGCUGCGGGACCGCUCCUACGAAACUGAAUCUCUUAACGGCCCUGGGCCAUUUAAGAUAUGUGAUGUCCUUCACUCCUAAUAGAUUGCAAACUUGUGUUCAGAGUUUCUUAUGUUAGCCUUCAACUCUCUCACGAAACAAGACUUUAUGCCAUUUUAAUUCUUUUCUAAAACAAAUCAAACAUUUGUGUAUGCAACAUCCAC